rnacentral:piRNA from 1 species
UUCCGUUCCAUUGCUAGUUUU